rnacentral:rRNA from 1 species
GAUGAGCGCUGGCGGCGUGCCUAAUACAUGCAAGUCGAGCGAACGGACGAGGAGCUUGCUCCUUUGACGUUAGCGGCGGACGGGUGAGUAACACGUGGAUAACCUACCUAUAAGACUGGGAUAACUUCGGGAAACCGGAGCUAAUACCGGAUAAUAUAUUGAACCGCAUGGUUCAAUAGUGAAAGACGGUUUUGCUGUCACUUAUAGAUGGAUCCGCGCCGCAUUAGCUAGUUGGUAAGGUAACGGCUUACCAAGGCAACGAUGCGUAGCCGACCUGAGAGGGUGAUCGGCCACACUGGAACUGAGACACGGUCCAGACUCCUACGGGAGGCAGCAGUAGGGAAUCUUCCGCAAUGGGCGAAAGCCUGACGGAGCAACGCCGCGUGAGUGAUGAAGGUCUUCGGAUCGUAAAACUCUGUUAUUAGGGAAGAACAAAUGUGUAAGUAACUAUGCACGUCUUGACGGUACCUAAUCAGAAAGCCACGGCUAACUACGUG